GCAAUAAAUCAAAAUAUGAAUAGCACUGGUUUUGGAUAGUGAGACUAUGACUAGCUGCUUUUUCGUUUUUUACUUUUCUGAUUUUCUCCAUUCUAAUUUUAUCAAUCAGGUAAAACUAAUGAAAAGUUUUAAAAUCUUGUCUGGGUGACUAUUCUCUGAGGCAGGAACUGUGUUGGCUCACAGUGCUCUGUGGUCUAGUUCCCUAAACACAGCAGGAAUUUAGUAAGUUUUGCUAAUAGCGCAUAAGCACUUUUAAAUACAUCUUCAACUCUGUCUGCCUUGCAGCCUACAAGCUUGUCGCCUCACGGCCCGAGAGAGGACAGCAAAUUAAAGUAAUAAUUGUGAGAGGAACAGAUCAGAGCAUCUAACGAGUGGUUGGUUGGGUCACUGUAAAUUGAAAAUCUCUCCUUAAGUGGCUAGAGGCCUGCGUGGGCAUGUCGAGAAGCAUCUAUUAAGUGGCAUCAAUGGGUAGAGUGGUGGGUGCUGAUAUAAGACCAAACCCAAGAUAUCAUGUCAUCAAACAAGAAGCAUGGGCAAGGCUUUGGCAUGUAGAAAUUGCUGCAAUGGGCUGGGUGCGGUGGCUCACGCCUGUAAUCCCAGCACUUUGGGAGGCUGGGGCGGGCGGAUCAUGAGGUCAGGAGAUCAAGACCAUCCUGGCCAACAUGGUGAAACCCCGUUUCUACUAAAAAUACAAAAAAUUAGCCAGGCAUGGUGGCGGGCGCCUGUAGUCCCCAGCUACUCGGGAGGCUGAGGCAGGAGAAUGGCGUGAACCCGGAAGGUGGAGCUUGCAGUGAGCCGAGAUCAAGCCACUGCACUCCAGCCUGGCUGACAGAGCAAGACUCCGUCUCAAAAAAAGAAUAAAAAGAAAUUAAUGCAGUGAGAUUGGUUUGAGAAUUGGGAAGAAUUAUACCAAAACAAUUCUUAGCCGAGUGCCUGAUACUUGGUGAACAGUCAACAAACAGUAACUGAUACUUCAGAGCAUUAUAGGGAUUUGUUAAAUCCUAGUUUUAGGAUUAUUUAGGAAUAAAGCUCAGAGACAAAGCAAUCCUUCAUAUUAAAAUUGUUUUACAAUUUACAGUGCUUCUUGACAUUGAUCUCAUUAACUGCCUUCAUUUGUAACCUUGUAUGACUGCAAGCUCCUUGAAGACAGGGCCAUGUCUUGGUUUCGUAUCUCCCCCUCUUAACACUGUCUGGCACAUAGUUGGUUUUUACAGUGGAUUAAAGGCUCUUACCACAAAUUCACUGAUGCCUCCCAUCCAGAGGUGAUGUCUAUGUAUUUUAUUUCCCCUUUUGAAUCUGGGCUAACCUGUGACUGCUUUGACCAACUGAGUAUGGUGGAAGUGACAUUAUGACACCUCUAAGCCUAGCCUUAAGGCAAACCUUGUCUCUUGGAGCCCUGAGCUUUCAUGUAAGAAGCCCAGCUACCCUGCUGAUGAGUCCAUGUGGAAAGGCCUAAGACCACAUGGAGAGGGAGUGGAGCCCAGCGGAGUCCAGCUUUCCAGCCAUCCCGGUCAAGGGAUCAGCUAAGUCGGCAAAGCCAUUUUGACAAGUCCAGAUCAGAUCAGCUGCUACUUGAAUAUCUCAAAGGACUCCAGCUGACUCUACAGGGAGCAGAAUCACCCAGCUGAGUCCUGUCUUCUUCAGCAUUGCCUUGCAGGAAGGAGCUACAGCCACGCCAGUUGGACAACUAGCAGGAAGUGGAGAUUCUGAAUAAAUGAUUAAUCAAUUUCACCUAGCGGGACAAUUAGAAGAGGAAUAACUUACAUGUGAAGCAGAGCUGGGUGCCAGCUUGUCAUGGCCUGGACUGUUGGCUCUCUCUGUGAUCCCACUGUGUCUGGAAUUGGUGGGUUCUUGGUCUCACUGACUUCAAGAAUGAAGCCGCGGGCCCUCACG
rnacentral:lncRNA from 10 species